UACGUAGGGUGCGAGCGUUGUCCGGAAUCAUUGGGCGUAAAGAGCUCGUAGGUGGUCUGUUACGUCUGCUGUGAAAACCUAGGGCUUAACCCUGGGCCUGCAGUGGAUACGGGCAGACUAGAGGUAGGUAGGGGAGAAUGGAAUUCCCGGUGUAGCGGUGAAAUGCGCAGAUAUCGGGAGGAACACCGGUGGCGAAGGCGGUUCUCUGGGCCUUACCUGACACUGAGGAGCGAAAGCGUGGGGAGCGAACAGG
rnacentral:rRNA from 1 species